rnacentral:rRNA from 1 species
GGGUGAGUAAUGUCUGGGAAACUGCCUGAUGGAGGGGGAUAACUACUGGAAACGGUAGCUAAUACCGCAUAACGUCGCAAGACCAAAGAGGGGGACCUUCGGGCCUCUUGCCAUCAGAUGUGCCCAGAUGGGAUUAGCUAGUAGGUGGGGUAACGGCUCACCUAGGCGACGAUCCCUAGCUGGUCUGAGAGGAUGACCAGCCACACUGGAACUGAGACACGGUCCAGACUCCUACGGGAGGCAGCAGUGGGGAAUAUUGCACAAUGGGCGCAAGCCUGAUGCAGCCAUGCCGCGUGUAUGAAGAAGGCCUUCGGGUUGUAAAGUACUUUCAGCGGGGAGGAAGGCGUUGAGGUUAAUAACCUCAGCGAUUGACGUUACCCGCAGAAGAAGCACCGGCUAACUCCGUGCCAGCAGCCGCGGUAAUACGGAGGGUGCAAGCGUUAAUCGGAAUUACUGGGCGUAAAGCGCACGCAGGCGGUCUGUCAAGUCGGAUGUGAAAUCCCCGGGCUCAACCUGGGAACUGCAUUCGAAACUGGCAGGC